UAGAUAACAGAGUAAAUAAAACCUUGAUAAAGCAGACUAAUUGCUUUUCAUAAGAUUAGAGUGCUGUUUUACUUAUUCCAAGAUGUAUGAAAGCAUCAGGAGACACCAUUACUUGUUGUACCACUUCAUCGUGAUUCUUUUAAUUUUGAUUUGAGUUUUCUACUUGUUCUGCAGGGCUCAAACCAGUUGGAUAGUAAAAUGGGCAAGCUAAAAGUGCUGACUACUCAAUUUGAAUAUUCCAGCAAAACCUGGGUGUACAUAUAUGUGCUGAGCUUUAUUAUUGGACCCCUGCUAUUAUUGCCAAUUUAAUCAGUUGACCUGAAGCAAAAAGAAUCUAUGUUUACCUAUUAAAAUUGUUAUCAUUUAGAUACAGUGAAUGUGAUAACACCAUUCAUAUUAAAAUAAAAUUAGAGAAUGUGGCUGUUAUAAAACAAACCUGCUACAAAAA